rnacentral:rRNA from 1 species
AUACGUAGGGAGCGAGCGUUGUCCGGAAUUACUGGGCGUAAAGGGCGCGUAGGCGGCGCUUCAAGUCGUCUGUCAAAUGGGAGGGCUUAACCCUUUUUCGCAGACGAAACUGGAGAGCUUGAGAAGCAGAGAGGCAAACAGAAUUCCUGGUGUAGCGGUGAAAUGCGUAGAUAUCAGGAAGAAUACCAGCGGCGAAGGCGGUUUGCUGGCUGCAUACUGAGGCUGAAGCGCGAAAGCAAGGGGAGCAAACGGGAUUAGAUACCCCGGUAGUCCUGGCAGUAAACGAUGUAUGCUGGGUGUGAGACUAGCGAUAGUUUAGUGCCGAAGUUAACGCGAUAAGCAUACCGCCUGGGGAGUACGGUAGCAAGAUUGAAACUCAAAUGAAUUGACGGGG